rnacentral:rRNA from 1 species
AGCGAUCCCGUAGCUGUCUGAGAGGAUGAUCAGCCACAUCGGACUGAGACACGGCCGACUCUACGGGAGGCAGCAGUGGGAAUAUUGGACAAUGGGCAACCCUGAUCCAGCCAUGCCGCGUGUGUGAAGAAGGCCUCGGGUUGUAAAGCACUUUCAGCGAGGAAGAACGCCUAGUGGUUAAUACCCAUUAGGAAAGACAUCACUCGCAGAAGAAGCACCGGCUAACUCCGUGCCAGCAGCCGCGGUAAUACGGAGGGUGCAAGCGUUAAUCGGAAUUACUGGGCGUAAAGCGCGCGUAGGUGGCUUGAUAAGCCGGUUGUGAAAGCCCCGGGCUCAACCUGGGAACGGCAUCCGGAACUGUCAGGCUAGAGUGCAGGAGAGGAAGGUAGAAUUCCCGGUGUAGCGGUGAAAUGCGUAGAGAUCGGGAGGAAUACCAGUGGCGAAGGCGGCCUUCUGGACUGACACUGACACUGAGGUGCGAAAGCGUGGGUAGCAAACAGGAUUAGAUACCCUGGUAGUCCACGCCGUAAACGAUGUCGACCAGCCGUUGGGUGCCUAGCGCACUUUGUGGCGAAGUUAACGCGAUAAGUCGACCGCCUGGGGAGUACGGCCGCAAGGUUAAAACUCAAAUGAAUUGACGGGGGCCCGCACAAGCGGUGGAGCAUGUGGUUUAAUUCGAUGCAACGCGAAGAACCUUACCUACCCUUGACAUCGACAGAAGCCGAGAGAGAUCUUGGUGUGCCUUCGGGAACUGUCAGACAGGUGCUGCAUGGCUGUCGUCAGCUCGUGUUGUGAAAUGUUGGGUUAAGUCCCGUAACGAGCGCAACCCUUGUCCUUAUUUGCCAGCGCGUAAUGGCGGGAACUCUAAGGAGACUGCCGGUGACAAACCGGAGGAAGGUGGGGACGACGUCAAGUCAUCAUGGCCCUUACGGGUAGGGCUACACACGUGCUACAAUGGCCGGUACAAAGGGCAGCGAGCUCGCGAGAGUCAGCGAAUCCCUUAAAGCCGGUCUCAGUCCGGAUCGGAGUCUGCAACUCGACUCCGUGAAGUCGGAAUCGCUAGUAAUCGGAAUCAGAAGCCG